CUGUGUUUCCGCCUCUGUCCCGUAUUUCUCCUCGGCUUUGGCCAGGUCAUAUGUUCCCUUUCUACGGGAAGGAAAGUGAAGAGCGGCCCACUUCCAGAAGCUCUUCAUCGUUCUCCCUCCAUCGGUAUCAAGAGCACCAACCGGCGCCGGUUGACGGUUCUCCGUCAUGAUGGGGGAGUCUUUGGGUUGUACACACAGGGUUCUCCUACACACUCCAAACCAGUCGCUUUUUUUAGUCUUGAAAGCAGUCCCACGAUAACACCGUUUGUCAGUCGCUAACAGUCGCUACCAAAUACGUUACUCCCAAGACUUCAAAGCACCAAAUGAGCAAGUGAUUUUCAUGCCUUUAUAUACCUUCAUGGCCGAAUUGUGACGUCAUAAAUUCCCGCGCGUAAUGGAAUACAAAAAAGAAAAAAAAAAGAAAAUACGUCAUCUGGUCCUUUCAAACGAUAACAUCCAAUGAUGUUCAAUGUUAACGACAAUUUGUUGUAUCGUGUACAUCGCGGGUUAUUUCUUCUUCUUACCCUUGUCCAGGAUGUCCUGCACGAGCUGUUCCUCAGUAGAGAGGACUUCCUCUCUCC